GCCUGCGUGGCUCAGUGGAUAGAGCGUCGGCCUGUGGACUGAAGGGUCGCGGGUUUGAUUCCGGUCAAGGGCA
rnacentral:tRNA from 1 species